rnacentral:rRNA from 1 species
UACGUAGGUGGCGAGCGUUGUCCGGAAUCACUGGGCGUAAAGGGCGCGUAGGCUGUUUAUCAAGUCGCAUGUGAAGGACCAGGGCUCAACCCUGGGGUGUCAUGCGAAACUGGUAGACUUGAGUGCAGUAGAGGGAAGCGGAAUUCCUGGUGUAGCGGUAAAAUGCGUAGAGAUCAGGAGGAACACCGGUGGCGAAGGCGGCUUUCUGGGCUGCAACUGACGCUGAGGCGCGAAAGCGUGGGGAGCAAACAGG